rnacentral:rRNA from 1 species
AGUCGAACGGUAACAGGUUAAGCUGACGAGUGGCGAACGGGUGAGUAAUGUAUCGAAGCGUGCCCAGUCGUGGGGGAUAACUGCUCGAAAGAGCAGCUAAUACCGCAUACGACCUGAGGGUGAAAGCGGGGGAUCGCAAGACCUCGCGCGAUUGGAGCGGCCGAUAUCAGAUUAGGUAGUUGGUGAGGUAAAGGCUCACCAAGCCGACGAUCUGUAGCUGGUCUGAGAGGACGACCAGCCACACUGGGACUGAGACACGGCCCAGACUCCUACGGGAGGCAGCAGUGGGGAAUUUUGGACAAUGGGCGCAAGCCUGGUCCAGCCAUGCCGCGUGCGGGAAGAAGGCCUUCGGGUUGUAAACCGCUUUUGUCAGGGAAGAAAAGGUUCUGGCUAAUACCUGGGACUCAUGACGGUACCUGAAGAAUAAGCACCGGCUAACUACGUGCCAGCAGCCGCGGUAAUACGUAGGGUGCAAGCGUUAAUCGGAAUUACUGGGCGUAAAGCGUGCGCAGGCGGUUAUGCAAGACAGAGGUGAAAUCCCCGGGCUCAACCUGGGAACUGCCUUUGUGACUG